UACGAAGGGGGCUAGCGUUGCUCGGAAUCACUGGGCGUAAAGGGUGCGUAGGCGGGUCUUUAAGUCAGGGGUGAAAUCCUGGAGCUCAACUCCAGAACUGCCUUUGAUACUGAAGAUCUUGAGUGCGGGAGAGGUGAGUGGAACUGCGAGUGUAGAGGUGAAAUUCGUAGAUAUUCGCAAGAACACCAGUGGCGAAGGCGGCUCACUGGCCCGAUACUGACGCUGAGGCGCGAAAGCCAGGGGAGCAAACGGG
rnacentral:rRNA from 1 species